rnacentral:rRNA from 1 species
UACGUAGGGUGCAAGCGUUGUCCGGAAUUAUUGGGCGUAAAGAGCUCGUAGGCGGUUUGUCGCGUCUGCUGUGAAAACUCGGGGCUUGACUCCGGGCCUGCAGUGGGUACGGGCAGACUAGAGUGCGGUAGGGGAGACUGGAAUUCCUGGUGUAGCGGUGAAAUGCGCAGAUAUCAGGAGGAACACCGGUGGCGAAGGCGGGUCUCUGGGCCGUAACUGACGCUGAGGAGCGAAAGCGUGGGGAGCGAACAGG